rnacentral:tRNA from 1 species
GCCCGGCUAGCUCAGUCGGUAGAGCAUCAGACUUUUAAUCUGAGGGUCGUGGGUUCGAGUCCCACGUUGGGCG